rnacentral:rRNA from 1 species
AAAUUUGAGUCGCGAUUUCCGAAUGGGGAAACCCAACUGCACAAGCAGUUACUGUUAACUGAAUACAUAGGUUAACAGAGCAAACCGGGGGAACUGAAACAUCUAAGUACCCCGAGGAGAAGAAAUCAACCGAGAUUCCGGUAGUAGCGGCGAGCGAACCUGGAUUAGCCCUUAAGCACUCGUUGAAGUAGGUGAACAAGCUGGAAAGCUUGGCGAUACAGGGUGAUAGCCCCGUAACCGACGCUUCAUCGAGCGUGAAAUCGAGUAGGGCGGGACACGUGAUAUCCUGUCUGAAUAUGGGGGGACCAUCCUCCAAGGCUAAAUACUCCUGACUGACCGAUAGUGAACCAGUACCGUGAGGGAAAGGCGAAAAGAACCCCUGUGAGGGGAGUGAAAUAGAACCUGAAACCGUGUACGUACAAGCAGUAGGAGCACCUUCGUGGUGUGACUGCGUACCUUUUGUAUAAUGGGUCAGCGACUUAUAUUCAGUGGCAAGGUUAACCGUAUAGGGGAGCCGUAGCGAAAGCGAGUCUUAACUGGGCGCUCAGUCUCUGGAUAUAGACCCGAAACCGGGUGAUCUAGCCAUGGGCAGGUUGAAGGUUGAGUAACAUCAACUGGAGGACCGAACCGACUAAUGUUGAAAAAUUAGCGGAUGACUUGUGGCUAGGGGUGAAAGGCCAAUCAAACUCGGAGAUAGCUGGUUCUCCCCGAAAGCUAUUUAGGUAGCGCCUCGGACGAAUACUACUGGGGGUAGAGCACUGUUAAGGCUAGGGGGUCAUCCCGACUUACCAACCCUUUGCAAACUCCGAAUACCAGUAAGUACUAUCCGGGAGACACACGGCGGGUGCUAACGUCCGUCGUGGAGAGGGAAACAACCCAGACCGCCAGCUAAGGUCCCAAAGUAUUGCUAAGUGGGAAACGAUGUGGGAAGGCUCAGACAGCUAGGAUGUUGGCUUAGAAGCAGCCAUCAUUUAAAGAAAGCGUAAUAGCUCACUAGUCGAGUCGGCCUGCGCGGAAGAUGUAACGGGGCUAAGCAAUACACCGAAGCUGCGGCAAUGCCUUUUAGGUAUUGGGUAGGGGAGCGUUCUGUAAGCCGUUGAAGGUGGUCUGUAAGGGCUGCUGGAGGUAUCAGAAGUGCGAAUGCUGACAUGAGUAACGACAAAGGGGGUGAAAAACCUCCUCGCCGGAAGACCAAGGGUUCCUGUCCAACGUUAAUCGGGGCAGGGUGAGUCGACCCCUAAGGUGAGGCCGAAAGGCGUAAUCGAUGGGAAACGGGUUAAUAUUCCCGUACUUCUGACUAUUGCGAUGGGGGGACGGAGAAGGCUAGGUGGGCCAGGCGACGGUUGUCCUGGUUCAAGUGCGUAGGCUUAAGAGUUAGGUAAAUCCGGCUCUUUCUAAGGCUGAGACACGACGUCGAGCUGCUACGGCAGUGAAGUCAUUGAUGCCAUGCUUCCAGGAAAAGCCUCUAAGCUUCAGAUAGUCAGGAAUCGUACCCCAAACCGACACAGGUGGUCGGGUAGAGAAUACCAAGGCGCUUGAGAGAACUCGGGUGAAGGAACUAGGCAAAAUGGUACCGUAACUUCGGGAGAAGGUACGCUCUUGAUGGUGAAGUCCCUUGCGGAUGGAGCUGACGAGAGUCGCAGAUACCAGGUGGCUGCAACUGUUUAUUAAAAACACAGCACUGUGCAAAAUCGCAAGAUGACGUAUACGGUGUGACGCCUGCCCGGUGCCGGAAGGUUAAUUGAUGGGGUUAGCGCAAGCGAAGCUCUUGAUCGAAGCCCCGGUAAACGGCGGCCGUAACUAUAACGGUCCUAAGGUAGCGAAAUUCCUUGUCGGGUAAGUUCCGACCUGCACGAAUGGCGUAAUGAUGGCCACGCUGUCUCCACCCGAGACUCAGUGAAAUUGAAAUCGCUGUGAAGAUGCAGUGUACCCGCGGCUAGACGGAAAGACCCCGUGAACCUUUACUACAGCUUGGCACUGAACAUUGAACCUACAUGUGUAGGAUAGGUGGGAGGCUAUGAAGACGUGACGCUAGUUGCGUUGGAGCCGUCCUUGAAAUACCACCCUUGUAUGUUUGAUGUUCUAACUUAGCCCCAUUAUCUGGGGUGAGGACAGUGCCUGGUGGGUAGUUUGACUGGGGCGGUCUCCUCCCAAAGAGUAACGGAGGAGCACGAAGGUGGGCUAAUCACGGUUGGACAUCGUGAGGUUAGUGCAAUGGCAUAAGCCCGCUUAACUGCGAGAAUGACGGUUCGAGCAGGUGCGAAAGCAGGUCAUAGUGAUCCGGUGGUUCUGUAUGGAAGGGCCAUCGCUCAACGGAUAAAAGGUACUCCGGGGAUAACAGGCUGAUACCGCCCAAGAGUUCAUAUCGACGGCGGUGUUUGGCACCUCGAUGUCGGCUCAUCACAUCCUGGGGCUGAAGUCGGUCCCAAGGGUAUGGCUGUUCGCCAUUUAAAGUGGUACGCGAGCUGGGUUUAGAACGUCGUGAGACAGUUCGGUCCCUAUCUGCCGUGGGCGUUGGAAGAUUGAAGGGGGCUGCUCCUAGUACGAGAGGACCGGAGUGGACGAACCUCUGGUGUUCGGGUUGUGUCGCCAGACGCAUUGCCCGGUAGCUAAGUUCGGAAUUGAUAAGCGCUGAAAGCAUCUAAGCGCGAAGCGAGCCCUGAGAUGAGUCUUCCC